rnacentral:lncRNA from 1 species
CUCCUCUUAUAAAUUGAUCUGAAAUUUUUCUCCAGUUGAUCAUGUUGAUAAUUUAUUUUAUAUAUACUUUUGUUAACAAAUUCCUUUUUUUUCCUUCAUUUUUAUAAGUUAUUAUAUAUAUGGUUAUGGUAUAAAAAUUACCAAUGCAGUGUUCUCUCCAGGGCCUUUUAGCAUCAUGGCAAUGGCAAUGUGAUGCUGUAUUGCUAGAAUGUGAUGCUAUCUGAAAUUAGUUUCUUAAACUUUAAGAAACUAAUUUCAGAUAGCAUCACAUACAUUUUGUACAUAACACUAGUUAUCUUUAAGACUUAAAGAUAACUAGUGUUAUGUAUGUGAUGCUAUAUUAUUUAGAAACAUGGUAUUACAUUUUUA